rnacentral:rRNA from 1 species
AUUGAACGCUGGCGGCAGGCCUAACACAUGCAAGUCGAACGGUAACAGGAAGCAGCUUGCUGCUUCGCUGACGAGUGGCGGACGGGUGAGUAAUGUCUGGGAAACUGCCUGAUGGAGGGGGAUAACUACUGGAAACGGUAGCUAAUACCGCAUAACGUCGCAAGACCAAAGAGGGGGACCUUAGGGCCUCUUGCCAUCGGAUGUGCCCAGAUGGGAUUAGCUAGUAGGUGGGGUAACGGCUCACCUAGGCGACGAUCCCUAGCUGGUCUGAGAGGAUGACCAGCCACACUGGAACUGAGACACGGUCCAGACUCCUACGGGAGGCAGCAGUGGGGAAUAUUGCACAAUGGGCGCAAGCCUGAUGCAGCCAUGCCGCGUGUAUGAAGAAGGCCUUCGGGUUGUAAAGUACUUUCAGCGGGGAGGAAGGGAGUAAAGUUAAUACCUGUGCUCAUUGACGUUACCCGCAGAAGAAGCACCGGCUAACUCCGUG